rnacentral:rRNA from 1 species
UGCCAGACUCCUACGGGAGGCAGCAGUGGGGAAUAUUGCACAAUGGGGGAAACCCUGAUGCAGCAACGCCGCGUGAGUGAAGAAGUCAUUCGUGAUGUAAAGCUCUAUCAGCAGGGAAGAAAAUGACGGUACCUGAGUAAGAAGCCCCGGCUAACUACGUGCCAGCAGCCGCGGUAAUACGUAGGGGGCGAGCGUUAUCCGGAUUUACUGGGUGUAAAGGGAGCGUAGACGGUUCUGCAAGUCUGAAGUGAAAGCCCGUGGCUUAACCGCGGAACGGCUUUGGAAACUGUGGAACUGGAGUGCUGGAGAGGCAAGCGGAAUUCCUAGUGUAGCGGUGAAAUGCGUAGAUAUCAGGAGGAACACCGGCGGCGAAGGCGGCCUGCUGGACCGUAACUGACGUUGAGGCUCGAAAGCGUGGGGAGCAAACAGGAUUAGAUACCCCCGUAAU